CCGGACUUUCUGACUUUUAGUUUGACCAAAAACAAAAUUACAGGUGUAGUCUCGGUCCAGCUCAAACUGAACCAUGGUCCAUUUCGUUUAUAGUGUGAAAGCAAUUUUUGGAUGGUUGGGACUUUCGGACCAAAUACAGGAAGCUCUGGCAGGCUAUCAUUGUGGUAUAAGACCUGGAAAGUUCUUU